GUAGAAUUGCACUUUAUUUAAUGCAACUGUAUUUUCUUUUGCACAAACAAUUGGCACUGUAUGCAGAAUUUGUAGUUUUUUUUUGUAUACUGCACUUAUAUGAUUUGCAAUUAUAAGAGUUUUGAGUGAUUUGUCACGUUUUAGAAAAAGUCACAGCAUACCUUUUUUCGUUUUAUUUGAAUUUAGUUAGAGGGUACUUUUAUGAACUAUUACACUUUAUUUGAUUGUAUAAAAUUGUAUUUUUAAAUUUUAUAGGAUAUUGGUCAGCACCUAUUUCACAUGUUCUCUAGUUUAGGUACUAACCACUGCAUAUCCUACAAGACUUGUCUGUUUGAAGUUGUCUAGGUCAUCACUAUUUGGAUCUUGUCAAAGUCACAUAGCUUUUCUUUGCCCAUUUUUCCUGAUUUACUUUUUUUUCCUGAUUGUUCACUUACUGCCUUAUAUACCCCAUCCCUUAACUGGUGCCAUUGUUUUAAUAUAAUGUUAUUCACUUCACCUGUCAGUGGUUUUAAUAUUGUGGCUGAUCAGUGUAUAUUUAUGUUGCUG